UACGGAGGGGGCUAGCGUUGUUCGGAAUUACUGGGCGUAAAGCGCACGUAGGCGGACAUUUAAGUCAGGGGUGAAAUCCCGGGGCUCAACCCCGGAACUGCCUUUGAUACUGGGUGUCUGGAGGUCGAGAGAGGUGAGUGGAAUUCCGAGUGUAGAGGUGAAAUUCGUAGAUAUUCGGAGGAACACCAGUGGCGAAGGCGGCUCACUGGUCCAUUACUGACGCUGAGGUGCGAAAGCGUGGGGAGCAAACAGG
rnacentral:rRNA from 1 species